rnacentral:rRNA from 1 species
GGAUGUUCCAUAGGGUCUGCUACAAACGUAUGUGUCAUUCAGUUGAUGUAUACGGUUACUUCGUCAUUUACUGUGAGCAAAAUAGGGUGUUCAAAGCAGGCUUAUGCCGUUGAAUACAUUAGCAUGGAAUAAUAAGAUAGGACCUUGGUCUAUUUUGUUGGUUUGUACUCCAAGGUA